AACGGAUAUCUUGGCUCCCGCAACGAUGAAGAACGCAGCGAAAUGCGAUACCUAGUGUGAAUUGCAGAAUUCCGCGAAUCAUCGAGUUUUUGAACGCAUAUUGCGCCCGAGGCUCACGCCGAGGGCACGUCUGUCUGAGCGUCA
rnacentral:rRNA from 1 species